UACGUAGGGCGCAAGCGUUGUCCGGAAUUAUUGGGCGUAAAGAGCUCGUAGGCGGUCUGUUACGUCCGCUGUGAAAACCCAGGGCUUAACCCUGGGCUUGCAGUGGAUACGGGUAGACUAGAGGCAGGUAGGGGAGCGUGGAAUUCCCGGUGUAGCGGUGAAAUGCGCAGAGAUCGGGAGGAACACCCGUAGCGAAGGCGGCGCUCUGGGCCACUACUGACGCUGAGAAGCGAAAGCAUGGGGAGCGAACAGG
rnacentral:rRNA from 1 species